UGAGGCUCUGGCUGCGACGACGACGGGGCUAGCUGAUGCAACAACUGCUGAGGAGAGAGAACGGUCUCGUUGGUCUACGACCUCAGGUCCUCGGUCUGCGGUGGCAGCUGCUGCUGGGGAUGAUGUGGCCUCCACGGAUGAUGAUGCACGACGGGCGACUGCUGCUGGACCUCAUCAAUCCUCCUAGGGUCCGUCCUCCGGACGCGGAGAAAGCUAGACAUAGGGUCAAACACGAUCGGAAGAAUUCCGUGUGAACAAAUUGAAUACAGACAUGAGUCUAUAACAACGAAGGCGACUGAGCAGAUACUAGCUCGUGAACAUAAGCUCGGGAGCUCCGGGGACCGAACAUAAUACU
rnacentral:rRNA from 1 species